GCCUCUAUAGCUCAGUGGUAGAGCGUUCCACUCGUACUUAUCAACAAGAUCAUGGAAAGGUCUGGUGUUCAAUCCACCAUUGAGGCA
rfam:Puccinia graminis f. sp. tritici CRL 75-36-700-3 supercont2.1 genomic scaffold, whole genome shotgun sequence.